CAGUCGACGCUUUGUGGUUCAACUGAUUUGAAGAGCUUGCUCAGAUAUGACGAUGGACAUUGCAAAGAGUGGCGAACGGGUGAGUAACACGUGGGAAACCUACCUCUUAGCAGGGGAUAACAUUUGGAAACAGAUGCUAAUACCGUAUAACAAUGACAACCGCAUGGUUGUUAUUUAAAAGAUGGUUCUGCUAUCACUAAGAGAUGGUCCCGCGGUGCAUUAGCUAGUUGGUAAGGUAAUGGCUUACCAAGGCGAUGAUGCAUAGCCGAGUUGAGAGACUGAUCGGCCACAAUGGGACUGAGACACGGCCCAUACUCCUACGGGAGGCAGCAGUAGGGAAUCUUCCACAAUGGGCGAAAGCCUGAUGGAGCAACGCCGCGUGUGUGAUGAAGGGUUUCGGCUCGUAAAACACUGUUGUAAGAGAAGAAUGACAUUGAGAGUAACUGUUCAAUGUGUGACGGUAUCUUACCAGAAAGGAACGGCUAAAUACGUGCCAGCAGCCGCGGUAAUACGUAUGUUCCAAGCGUUAUCCGGAUUUAUUGGGCGUAAAGCGAGCGCAGACGGUUAUUUAAGUCUGAAGUGAAAGCCCUCAGCUCAACUGAGGAAUUGCUUUGGAAACUGGAUGACUUGAGUGCAGUAGAGGAAAGUGGAACUCCAUGUGUAGCGGUGAAAUGCGUAGAUAUAUGGAAGAACACCAGUGGCGAAGGCGGCUUUCUGGACUGUAACUGACGUUGAGGCUCGAAAGUGUGGGUAGCAAACAGGAUUAGAUACCCUGGUAGUCCACACCGUAAACGAUGAGUGCUAGGUGUUUGAGGGUUUCCGCCCUUAAGUGCCGCAGCUAACGCAUUAAGCACUCCGCCUGGGGAGUACGACCGCAAGGUUGAAACUCAAAGGAAUUGACGGGGACCCGCACAAGCGGUGGAGCAUGUGGUUUAAUUCGAAGCAACGCGAAGAACCUUACCAGGUCUUGACAUCCCUUGACAACUCCAGAGAUGGAGCGUUCCCUUCGGGGACAAGGUGACAGGUGGUGCAUGGUUGUCGUCAGCUCGUGUCGUGAGAUGUUGGGUUAAGUCCCGCAACGAGCGCAACCCUUAUUACUAGUUGCCAGCAUUCAGUUGGGCACUCUAGUGAGACUGCCGGUGACAAACCGGAGGAAGGUGGGGAUGACGUCAAAUCAUCAUGCCCCUUAUGACCUGGGCUACACACGUGCUACAAUGGCGUAUACAACGAGUUGCCAACCCGCGAGGGUGAGCUAAUCUCUUAAAGUACGUCUCAGUUCGGAUUGUAGGCUGCAACUCGCCUACAUGAAGUCGGAAUCGCUAGUAAUCGCGGAUCAGCACGCCGCGGUGAAUACGUUCCCGGGUCUUGUACACACCGCCCGUCACACCAUGAGAGUUUGUAACACCCAAAGCCG
rnacentral:rRNA from 1 species